GCGAACAGCACCAGAGGACGUUGGACGCCGAGAGAGACAUGGAUUUGGGGUUCCAGGCGCUCUUGCCUCACUGGGUGCUUCUUGGACGUGCCGUGACGGGGCCUGAACCCACAGUCGUCCCCUCAGGACGACACUAACCGGUGGAGCCGCCCGGCCAGGGCUCUCGGUCUGAAAGCCAAUGGAACAAAACCCCGCGAGACAUGGCACUUACCAGGUGACAGAGGCCAGAAUGAGCGGCGGCCUCCAGCCUG